rnacentral:rRNA from 1 species
CACCGCGGUUAUACGAGAGGCCCAAGUUGAUAGAUACCGGCGUAAAGAGUGGUUAGGGCACAACUUCUAACUAAAGCCGAACGCCCUCAGAGCUGUUAUACGCACCCGAAGGUAUGAAGAACCACCACGAAAGUGGCUUUACCCCCACCCCCGAACCCACGAAAGCUAUGUCA